rnacentral:rRNA from 1 species
CCUACGGGUGGCAGCAGUGAGGAAUAUUGGUCAAUGGCCGAGAGGCUGAACCAGCCAAGUCGCGUGAGGGAAGAAUGUCCUAUGGAUUGUAAACCUCUUUUGUCAGGGAGCAAAGUCACCCACGUGUGGGUGUUGGAGAGUACCUGAAGAAAAAGCAUCGGCUAACUCCGUGCCAGCAGCCGCGGUAAUACGGAGGAUGCGAGCGUUAUCCGGAUUUAUUGGGUUUAAAGGGUGCGUAGGCUGUGAGGUAAGUCAGCGGUGAAAUGCCCCCGCUCAACGGGGUGAAGUGCCAUUGAUACUGCCUUGCUGGAAUGCGGAUGCCGUGGGAGGAAUGUGUGGUGUAGCGGUGAAAUGCAUAGAUAUCACACAGAACACCGAUUGCGAAGGCAUCUCACGAAUCCGCGAUUGACGCUGAUGCACGAAAGCGUGGGUAUCAAACAGGAUUAGAUACCCGAGUAGUC